CAGCUGCUCCUUUGUUCACCGGCCACCGGGCGGGUGAGCCAGGGCACAGCCUGUCCAGGCCAAGAGCAGGAAACAGGUGGACUCUGCGGAGGCCCAGACGGGGCAGUGGGACGUGAGGAGGCCCACGUCUGGGCCACGGGGAGGUGCGCAGCGAAAUGAAAAGGGCUCCCUUCUGAGUUCCCAGGCUGUGGCGUCUCAGGUCCUCAGCUGGGUUUCAGGUUGCUGCGGGGCAAGGCAAUGAGCUGACUCAUAGAAAGCUCUGAUGUGACAGUGUGGUGGCAAGAGUCUUAUCCAGUCUCAUCUUCCAACUCCUAUCACAACCCACCCCUGAGAAGCUGCUGCCCGGCAGCUGAGAGCACGGUUUGCACCAUGUGAAAAUGAGAGUGAAACCCCCGGGGGCGGCCCGCUGAAAUAUGUGCAAAAUGAAAGAAGCCCUCCCCAAGGCCUGCAGAGUUUCUUCCUUCUCCUCUUCAAUCUGCAAAGCACCGGAUUUCACUGCUGCCAGAGAAAAAUACCAGGAUCAGCAUCGCGGGCCCUGGGGCCUUCCAAAUGGAUCAUCCUUCGAGUUAGUCAGAGCCGCCUUGCACACACUCCUGUAUUUCACAGAUCCGGAAAUGUGUGGUCUCGGCUGGUUUCCUCCUGGAUCCUUGAAGCGCCCACUCAGCCUCUGCCUGAUGCUUCGGCUCCCAUGCAGUUUGCUGAAGUCACCCUGCUGAAGGGCGUCAGAGCUGGAGGACAGGUGGCCGUGGGCCUCCCACUCCCGCCCCGCGGAGCCGCCUGAUGCUUCGACAGCCACCUCUUCCAGAACCAGUGGACACGCUCGCUCCGUGGUUUCCAUGACACUGCACUUUCCCACGUCUCCUCCGGAUUUCUGACAGCUCGUUUCCUUGCUGGCUGGCGUGAUCUCCUCCCGGCUUCUCGUUGUGGGCGUGUCCAGGGCGCUGCCCUCGGCUCUUACCCAACCCGGUGCCCACCGCCCCCUCUAGAGGGCUCUCCUCCUGGUGGCCUGGUGCCACCUCCCACCACUGUGGCCCCUGGGGCCUUGGCUACCCACGGUCCCCAAUCCCACACGGCCAGCAUUCACAGAACUUCUUGUCCUACCUCCUAUGAAUCAAGUCCUAAAUCACAGGUCAGACUGGAGGGGCGUGGGGGCGGAAGGGUUCGAGUUUGGGUUGGCCAAGCAACUAGUACCUGGGGGAUGUUGCUGAGAAGGCUUAAACACAUCCCCUGAGCCUGGGCUACUGUAGGUCUGUGUGAGGCAAGCUUGUGCAAGGCUAAGGAUAUAGGACUCUGGGAACCCACUGCCCAAGUUCAGAUCCUGCCUCUGCUACUUAGCUGCUGUGACCUCAGGCAAGUUCAUCUAUUUGUUCAUUAAUUUAUUUAACAAAUGUUAAUUGAGCCCCUGCUGUGUGCCAAAUUCUGAUGAAAAUACAAACAGAAACACAAAAGGACUCCC